AGUUAUUUAGUUUAAAAAAAACGUAUAUCUUGAAAAUAUAAAAUAGAGAAAUUUAAUAGCUU
rnacentral:tRNA from 1 species